rnacentral:rRNA from 1 species
UGCAGUCGAACGAUGACCACAUUCGGUGGGGAUUAGUGGCGAACGGGUGAGUAACACGUGGGCAAUCUGCCCUGCACUCUGGGACAAGCCCUGGAAACGGGGUCUAAUACCGGAUACUGAUCAUCUUAGGCAUCUUGGAUGAUCGAAAGCUCCGGCGGUGCAGGAUGAGCCCGCGGCCUAUCAGCUAGUUGGUGAGGUAAUGGCUCACCAAGGCGACGACGGGUAGCCGGCCUGAGAGGGCGACCGGCCACACUGGGACUGAGACACGGCCCAGACUCCUACGGGAGGCAGCAGUGGGGAAUAUUGCACAAUGGGCGAAAGCCUGAUGCAGCGACGCCGCGUGAGGGAUGACGGCCUUCGGGUUGUAAACCUCUUUCAGCAGGGAAGAAGCGAAAGUGACGGUACCUGCAGAAGAAGCGCCGGCUAACUACGUGCCAGCAGCCGCGGUAAUACGUAGGGCGCGAGCGUUGUCCGGAAUUAUUGGGCGUAAAGAGCUCGUAGGCGGCUUGUCACGUCGGUUGUGAAAGCCCGGGGCUUAACCCCGGGUCUGCAGUCGAUACGGGCAGGCUAGAGUUCGGUAGGGGAGAUCGGAAUUCCUGGUGUAGCGGUGAAAUGCGCAGAUAUCAGGAGGAACACCGGUGGCGAAGGCGGAUCUCUGGGCCGAUACUGACG